GUAAGUAUAAUGAUCAUGGUUUUUUCUUACGUUUUUUAUACUAUAAUUUAUUUUUUGAGUAUUUCACAUAUGUAUACAGUGUAUUUCGAUCAUAUUCAACAUCCUAUUCUCCCCCUUAACUCCUCCAAGAUCCACCCUCCAGCCUCCUUACCACUUCCCAACUUUGUCCUUAAAAAAAAAAAUCUAGGACGUCUAAUUAGUGUUGCCCAUAUACUAAGGUGUGGGGCAUUCUGCUGGAGCAUGGUUGACAUCCCGGGUGCCACAGCCUUAAAACCUGACUUUUUCUUCCCAGUGAUCAUCAGUCAAUAGCUACUCAGUUAGGGGUGGAGGUUCCUGAGCCCCUCCCCUCUGCAUGCUGGAAAGCUGACUGAUUUGACGUUAGACAGGUUUUAUGUCCACACUGACUCUCAGCAGUUACAACACGCCUGUCACACCCAGACGACACUGUCUCUGCCUGGUCCUCCCUGACCACGCACAUAGAGAAGGCACCAGUGACGACUGACUGGCUCUGUUGGACCCACUUCCACCUUUCCUCUGCCUUUGCUUCGGUUAUUGUGAUUGGAAUGACGUAAAUGUUGUGGGAACAGUGAUCAGACAGCGAGAAUGGAGCAGACUGGUGACUGGACUCCGCACUAUCUGCCCUUGUGUGUUUGGAAACCAUAAGAAGGCCGGGUGGAUGCUGACCUCCGGGAAUUUCAUGGCCCAUUACCAUCUUCAAAAUCAGAGCAGUGAUCACUCCUCAGAGACCGACUAAGCAGUGAUUUCAGUGUGCUCUGAUGACUGGCUGGUCGUGAGAAUAGAAAGGAGGCCCUUUGGUAACGACACAGAAUUGAGAGUUGAUGACAUAUACCUGGGGAACAACUGCUCCGUAACCAGGGUCCUGAGCCUCAACUAUGAGUUUUCUUAUCCUGCUGUUUCCUGUGGGAUCAAUAAAUUUGUGUUCCAGGGAAAUGUCUUCAUCUUGUCUGAGAUCAGGUACAGACUGGUUCAGGAGCUCACCCGUAGAUUCCAGGUGAUUUGCUCUGUGAAGAGGCCUAAGUCAUUUUCGACGGAGCCCUUUGGAUUAAAUAGGUACAGCGUGAGCGCCUUCUGUGGUGGGACCCAGAUAAUAGGACAGGAGCCAUCGGCUUCCUCCCAGAGGAAAGCAUGUGAGCCUAGUUUUAGCAGCUCUCAUAAGGACCAACUGCAUGUGAACUUCUGGAUCAAUGGUCCCUGUGUUAAGAAUUCCUUUGUUCCCUGAGAUCCAGAAGUAGUGCAAUGCAAGCCUGGGACCCGGUUUCAGUCACACCAUUAUUUUGUCUGUUUCAAGACCAGUAGUGACAUUUGUGAAACUGUUUAAAUGCCUGUUGGGACUUGGGAGACCAUAGCUCUGUAAUGUCAUGUUUAAAUGUUUUACUGGGUUAAUUCUAAGGGCACUUGUCACCAGAACUUUCCAUCUGAAGGCCGAAGUUCUAAUAAAACUGUUUCUGUACAGGAGCUUACUCAUAAAUCAGGCUGCAUGAUGGCUUCUUCUCCCACAUUAAA